rnacentral:ncRNA from 1 species
CUAAUGGCAAUGAGGAAGAAGAGUAGUCAUUUUUCGAGACGACAGAGAGCUGAUGGUUGGUGCGAAUCAGUGUCGAGGGAAUGAUGAAUGGGCUUCCGAGCCCCAAACCGAACCCGCCUUGUUCGCGGCGGCAGUAGGCUUUGGCGUUACGUCCGUACGUUACAAAGGACACCGUAUCAAAUCGGUACGGAACAAAGCGAUUUUGCGCAUGGAUGUUUCCUGUGCAAAAUAACAAGGGUGGCACCACGGUUCAUUCGUCCCUGUC